CUCAUAGCGCGGUUACUCAGUGAGUGUCUCCCAUAGCGCGGUUACUCAGUCAGUGUCACUCAUAGCGCGGUUACUCAGUCAGUGUCACUCAUAGCGCGGUUACUCAGUCAGUGUCACUCAUAGCGCGGUUACUCAGUCAGUGUCACUCAUAGCGCGGUUACUCAGUGAGUGUCCCCCAUAGUGCGGUUACUCAGUGAGUGUCUCCCAUAGCGUGGUUACUCAGCGCGGUUACUCAGUGAGUGUCCCUCAUAGCGCGGUUACUCAUUGAGUGUCCCCCAUAGUGCGGUUACUCAGUGAGUGUCUCCCAUAGCGCGGUUACUCAGUGAGUGUCCCCCAUAGCGCGGUUACUCAGUGAGUGUCCCCCAUAGCGCGGUUACUCUGUGAGUGUCCC